CAGGAUGAACGCUAGCGGCAGGCUUAACACAUGCAAGUCGAGGGGCAACGCGAGUAGCAAUACUUGGCGGCGACCGGCGCAAGGGUGCGUAACGCGUGAGCAACAUGCCCGUAUCAGGGGGAUAAUCCAGGGAAACUUGGUCUAAUACCCCAUAGUAAUUUUGUAAGGCAUCUUAUAAGAUUUAAAGCUUUGGUGGAUACGGAUUGGCUCGCGUGACAUUAGCUGGAUGGUAAGGUAACGGCCUACCAUGGCUAUGAUGUCUAGGGGUUCUGAGAGGAAGGUCCCCCACACUGGAACUGAGACACGGUCCAGACUCCUACGGGAGGCAGCAGUGAGGAAUAUUGGACAAUGGAUGGAAAUCUGAUCCAGCCAUGCCGCGUGAAAGGAAGAAGGUCCUAUGGAUUGUAAACUUCUUUUGUAUGGGAGCAAUAAGGCCUACGUGUAGGUUGAUGAGAGUACCAUACGAAUAAGCACCGGCUAACUCCGUGCCAGCCGCCGC
rnacentral:rRNA from 1 species